AGAGUUUGAUCAUGGCUCAGGACGAACGCUGGCGGCGUGCUUAACACAUGCAAGUCGAACGGAAAGGCCUCUUUCGGGGGGUACUCGAGUGGCGAACGGGUGAGUAACACGUGAGUAACCUGCCCUUGACUUUGGGAUAACUUCAGGAAACUGGGGCUAAUACCGGAUAGGAGCUCCUGCUGCAUGGUGGGGGUUGGAAAGUUUCGGCGGUUGGGGAUGGACUCGCGGCUUAUCAGCUUGUUGGUGGGGUAGUGGCUUACCAAGGCUUUGACGGGUAGCCGGCCUGAGAGGGUGACCGGCCACAUUGGGACUGAGAUACGGCCCAGACUCCUACGGGAGGCAGCAGUGGGGAAUAUUGCACAAUGGGUGGAAGCCUGAUGCAGCAACGCCGUGUGCGGGAUGACGGCCUUCGGGUUGUAAACCGCUUUCGCUCAUGACGAAGCUUUGUGUGACGGUAGUGGGUAAAGAAGCACCGGCUAACUACGUGCCAGCCGCCGCGGUAAUAC
rnacentral:rRNA from 1 species